GACGAACGCUGGCGGCGUGCUUAACACAUGCAAGUCGAACGGAAAGGCCCUGCUUUUGUGGGGUGCUCGAGUGGCGAACGGGUGAGUAACACGUGAGUAACCUGCCCUUGACUUUGGGAUAACUUCAGGAAACUGGGGCUAAUACCGGAUAGGAGCUCCUGCUGCAUGGUGGGGGUUGGAAAGUUUCGGCGGCUGGGGAUGGACUCGCGGCUUCUCAGCGUGUUGGUGGGGUAGUGGCUUACCAAGGCUUUGACGGGUAGCCGGCCUGAGAGGGUGACCGGCCACAUUGGGACUGAGAUACGGCCCAGACUCCUACGGGAGGCAGCAGUGGGGAAUAUUGCACAAUGGGCGGAAGCCUGAUGCAGCAACGCCGCGUGCGGGAUGACGGCCUUCGGGUUGUAAACCGCUUUCGCCUGUGACGAAGCGUGAGUGACGGUAAUGGGUAAAGAAGCACCGGCUAACUACGUG
rnacentral:rRNA from 1 species